rnacentral:rRNA from 1 species
GAUGAACGCUAGCUACAGGCUUAACACAUGCAAGUCGAGGGGAAACGACAUCGAAAGCUUGCUUUUGAUGGGCGUCGACCGGCGCACGGGUGAGUAACGCGUAUCCAACCUGCCCACCACUUGGGGAUAACCUUGCGAAAGUAAGACUAAUACCCAAUGACGUCUCUAGAAGACAUCUGAAAGAGAUUAAAGAUUUAUCGGUGAUGGAUGGGGAUGCGUCUGAUUAGCUUGUUGGCGAGGUAACGGCCCACCAAGGCGACGAUCAGUAGGGGUUCUGAGAGGAAGGUCCCCCACAUUGGAACUGAGACACGGUCCAAACUCCUACGGGAGGCAGCAGUGAGGAAUAUUGGUCAAUGGGCGAGAGCCUGAACCAGCCAAGUAGCGUGCAGGAUGACGGCCCUAUGGGUUGUAAACUGCUUUUAUAAGGGAAUAAAGUGAGUCUCGUGAGACUUUUUGCAUGUACCUUAUGAAUAAGGACCGGCUAAUUCCGUGCCAGCCGCCGCUGUAA